UACUGAUAACAAAGCAGAAAGUCACCACUGAGCAUGUGCAUCAGCUAACAUCUGGGCCAUGUUCACAUCUGAAACAGAUGGUGGUGGAGGCAAAGAGAAGAGCUGAUAAAAGUCCAUGUUUGGUCUGAAAGAGCAACUGAGGACUGAGGACGAAGCCCUGAGGUACUCCAGAACUGAGGAGCUGAAACUGCAGAGGAAAGCCACCAGACGCACGUUUGACCCGUUUUAAAGACGCAUCAAGCAAAUUCAGAAAAUUAUGAGAAGUUUUGUGAUGUUUGCGCUCAGAUUUCCGUCUGCGCUGCCUGACUGAAGGAGAUAAAAGUCUCAAAUAAUCUGA